ensembl:lncRNA
CGUUAGUUCAGGAGAAGAUGACUGGGCUACGGCUAAAGCCAGCAGAAGCUACAUCGAACAAACUUCCCUUGUCUGCUUUGUGUUGGUUGGUACAAUGUGCCUUUGUUUGACAGUCUUGUUUUAGGAACAACUGUGUCCUUUUCAGACACUGUAGUUUUGGAUCUAGCUAACGUUAUAGCCGAGCAGCUAGCGUUAGCGCUGAAGCUAACGGCUAACUUAGUUAACGUUAGUCAAUGUUUGCCUGUGUUCCAACCAGCGUCACAGUACAUUUAUAAUUUUGAAGUUAUAAAACGUAUUGGUAUCCAAAGUUUCCUUUCUAGGCUUUCUAUGUUUUGAGUUUUACACGACGGGUUGUGUAGCUGAGAUGAACCACGUUUCGUGGCUAAAGCUAACUAGCUUGCCCUCAAGUGUUUUUGUCGCACGCGGGCAUUGCUGACUGCAUGUUGAUUGAUGAAGAAGGGGUGAGAGUGAUGAGUUGCACUAAUCAGUUGGGGCGUUUGAUGCAGUGGCAUCGAUGCCCCGAUCCGACCCGACCUGAGGACACACUGUGUGCACAGGGGCCAUCUGACUCAACCCUUCCGCUCUUUUCCAAGAAAGGAUAAAAGGAGGCUUGUUUAGGGACAGGGAUCGACUGUUUGCAUGGCUGACCUGCCUGGUUUCUAUGGUUUUGUGUCCUUAGCGGGUGCUGCUGCUGACUGUCCUGAAAUCCAUGCGUUGCAGCAAGAUGGGAGCGGAUGGAUUCGCCUCAGGGUCGAACGUGAAGCAGGAAUUCCGGCCAACUGCCAUGAAAUUCACACCUCUCAGAGAGAUGAGCGGGUGGAGCUGCCUCGCAAUCACAACUUGAAAAGCAAGUGGGAGGGUGUCAUGCUGUGGAUUUUCUCGGGCUUCUCCCUCCCAGAGUCCACCAUCAGCGCACUGACCUUGGAGGGCAGCGCCUUCAUUCCUGAAGGCAGACUAGAAAAACCCUUCCAGAUCCACAGCAGCAGCCCCUGGUACAGCUGCAGGACCCCCACCCGCUGCACAGGUGGCGUGUCCUUGAUGCCCGAGCGGCUGCAGUAUUGACCCGAUACGGGGAGGACGUUCCUGGUAUGUGUGCCUCCUCUAGAGCAUUUUAUAUUGAUUUAAAUGUGGUGUGAGUUGGAAAGUAACUAUUAAACAUGAUGAGCACACUUCAUCUUCUCCAAUAGCUGCUUCUACUCUGCUGUAUCCUAGAGUCCAUCUUCCACACAGCAAGCAGUCGGGUUUCCAUCAUCCUGAACUGCUGAAACUUAAUAUUGAGACUGUUUCUGUGACAGAUGGACGUGUCGGCCCAGAACCGCAUGGUGACCAGUGUGUUCCUUGGAAUAUCUCUCCUGCUGCAUUGUGGGCUUAUUGCUGGUGAGCAACACCAGGGAGGUCUCAUUCAUCCUGAAAUCUAUUUAAACUUUGCUGUCAUCUCCACAAAAGCGGCUUAAACGUGCACAAACCCUGUCGGGGGCCGUGUGUCGGUCUAAUGGGAACUCUCUGUAUCCUAAUGUGGGCAAGUCCUCUCAGUAAUGGCCUUCUCGCCUCUGCUUCCUCCUAAAGAGAGCAGCAUCAUCAUCAUCAGAGGCCACAGCUCAUCUUAAAUAUCUCCACGGUCAUUGAAUAAACCUUUAAAAUCA